GAGCACAUAGCUCAGUAGGUAGAGCGUUUCACUUUUAAUGAAAAUCGCGAGAGUUCAAAUCUCUCUGUGCUCA
rnacentral:tRNA from 1 species